AUUAAUUGUUAGUUCAUUUUAAUUCACAGUUUAAUUCAUGUUAAUGAUAACUUUCAUUUUAAUGCAUUAGUAAAUGUUAACAUUAACAUAAACUAAGAUUAAUAAAUGCUGUAGAAGUAUUUCUUAGUUCAUGUUAAAUAAAGUAGUUAACUAAUAUUAACUAAUAAACCUUACUGUAAAGUUACAAAAAAAAAAAAAGCUUGUAUGGACUCGGAUGCCAUCGUAUGGUCAGACUCGGGAAUCAAUGCGGCGCGACCCUCACUGUACAUUGUGUAUUCUCUAACCAUCGGCUGUUCGUCUGUUUUACAUUAGUUAUUGCGGAGCAUUAUGAGAUUGCAUGAGUAAAAGACUAUGCUUUAAGGGCAUUUUGAAUGAGUGCACUCGAUAACAUCCACUAUGACUUCGGGCCAUUGUGUCUCGCGGUGAUGACGUCACAACACGCGCGUUCUUGCACUCAUUCCAGCAAGUCUUCUGAGGUGAGCUGUUCGCAUUUCUUUACAUAUUUACACAAUCAUGACAAAGUUUUUAUAAGCGACAUUUAUAGCGGUCAUUUCUGUCUUGUUUUCAUAGGAUUCUGUGCUAUUUGUGCGUUGACUCAGAUUAAGGAACUGGACGAUGAUUUUUUUGUGUAUUUUGGUUUGUUUUGAUGUUUGAACGGUAUUCUUACAUGGUAUUCAUGUCAAGUCUCUAUGUAAAUGUAAAAUAACUUACUAAAACGAAGCUUAACGGUCUGGAUGAUUUUUUUUUUAAAAAUGUUUGUCUUCUAUUGUUAGAAAUAGUAGUACUAGUGCAGUUUUAUAUUUAUCAGAGUAUGUCACGUGUGACUCGUAUUAUUUUAAAUGACCAGGUUAUUGAUUAAACGAUAAUUGCUUUAUUCCAAUGCCAACAGCUCCCCUCAUUCACCUCAUUAGAUAUCUUUUCAUAAUGUUCAUUUCAUUGGAGGAGCAGACUACAUGAUCCACACAUUCGAGGUCUUAAAUAUACACUUCUCUUAACUUUAAUACACUUUAAUGAACAUUAAUUUUGUGUAAUUUUUUUAUUUGGAAAAAAACAAAACAAAAACGUUUCAUAUAAAACAGCAAAUUAAUAAGCAACAACCAAUUAACAAGAAUAUAGGUAGCUAAGUGAAAAGCUAAAUUAAGAUGAAACAAUUUCAGUUAGUUUACAUUUUGAUUGAUUGGUAAUUAAACAUAACAUAUAAUGUGUUUCUCAAUAAUUGAUUUAUUGAUAAUAGAUCUGCUUCUAUUCAACACAGGAAUUCUCCAAUGCUGGAUUAUUUUCAUCAUUUUACAGGUGAAGAUUAGAGAACAAUGAGAACAUGAAUAAUCCAGAACCCUUCAGAAUAAAUCACAAAGAUACUGUAAAACA
ensembl:lncRNA